GACGAACGCUGGCGGCGUGCCUAAUACAUGCAAGUCGAGCGCAGGAAACUGACGGAACUCUUCGGAGGGAAGGCAGUGGAAUGAGCGGCGGACGGGUGAGUAACACGUAAGGAACCUGCCUCAAGGAUUGGGAUAACUCCGAGAAAUCGGAGCUAAUACCGGAUAGUUCAACGGACCGCACGGUCCGCUGAUGAAAGGCGCUUCGGCGUCACCUUGAGAUGGCCUUGCGGUGCAUUAGCUAGUUGGUGGGGUAACGGCCCACCAAGGCGACGAUGCAUAGCCGACCUGAGAGGGUGAUCGGCCACACUGGGACUGCGACACGGCCCAGACUCCUACGGGAGGCAGCAGUAGGGAAUCUUCCACAGUGGACGAAAGUCUGAUGGAGCAACGCCGCGUGAGUGAUGAAGGUUUUCGGAUCGUAAAACUCUGUUGUAAGGGAAGAACACGUACGAGAGGAAAUGCUCGUACCUUGACGGUACCUUACGAGAAAGCCACGGCUAACUACGUGCCAGCAGCCGCCGUAA
rnacentral:rRNA from 1 species